UCCCAGUUCCCUCACCAUUGCCGACAGUGCCUUGGAGGAAAGGGCUCACAACCUCACAGCCCUUAGCUGCUCGUCCGUAUUCCUGAGCAUGGAAGGGCGGCCCCUGAGCCGCUGUGUCGGGGUGAGCAGGGAAGCACCAAGAAGACUCAUGGUGGCCAUUGUGGCAGUAAUUCAUGCAUGCCUUGGUGUACUGGGGUCUGUAACUGGGAAGGCCAAAAGCAUAACCAGGUCUAACCUUGGUUGAUGGGAAUUUUGGAAUUGACUUCGGCUAAGCCAGGGUUUAUUAGCUAUGUUUAAGGGAAGCUCACAUCCUGAUGGUGUCUGGUGUUUACUGUCCAAGGGCAGCAUUGGUCAUUGACUGUCCUAUGGUCAUAGCAUAUCCUUUAAAAUUGAUUAUUUGCUGGUUGCCGCACAAACAAUAGAGGCUAGUUACUUACAGGGAACAGUUACUUACGUGUGGAGAGUAAUUCUACGCCAAAGAGAUUAUUUAUUUCUAUCCCACCAUUUAUCUGGGCUAUAAUGAUUUUAUUCCCUUACAGCAUACUUUGUGAUGUAAAUGCAUGUUGGAUGUCUGUGAGGUUUUAGCAAUAUGAUUUAAAUGUAUGUUGUCUAGUAUUUUUUCUGCUGCUUCCACAAACAUCAAGAAAGGUGUUUUUUUAUCUUUCAAACCUAACAGUACUACCAAUAUUUAUGUGUGAAAGAAAAGAUAAAAUACAUAAUUAUAACAAAAAUAAUUAGUAUUAAACCAGUUUAUCUUCAAUAAUAUGGACUUUUUUGACAAGGUGAUCUGAGAAGUACCAUCAAUGCUGCAUAUGUACCAAAUUCUACAUAAGGGGAAAGGAUGUGUCACACAGGCCUUAAAUGUUAAUAUGUAGUAUGCCUGUAAAAAAACUUUGAAAUAUGGUUAAUAUUUAUUGUGUGGCCUAUUUAAAAACAUCAGUGGAAGGAAAUCACAUUUUAGGUUAGUACAGAAGGAAAAUAAGUUUGACUUUCCUAGGGAAAAAAAAUCGUCUCUGCUGAAACCUAAGAUUUGGUGCACCCUGCUGAUUUUGGCAAAAUGACUGUUGUUUCCUUUUUUCAAAACAAUUCAAGUUAUAUUUCAGAAUAAAGACUGUUUAACAAAAUCAGUUGGGAUAAGUUUUGUCUCCCUUGUUGUGUUUGCUGAAUUUAAUCUGAACUGAUGAUAAAGACUGUUUCAGCAAUGACAUCUGCUGAGCUCUCUUUGUAAUUAAAUCUAUAAACUUCUGCCAUGCCUCUGUACCGGCCUUUCCUGGAACCCACUGGGAUCAUAUAUUAGGAAGAGGCAGCUAUGGCAGCACAAGAGAAGUAGAGGGCAGGCUGUGAUAGAGAUACUCCUGGUAAAGGCCACACGUGCCUGGCACUGACGGCUGCUCAAGGAAUCUAAUGGCUGACUUUGACCUUAUGUUCCUCUUCUCCUCUUCUACAGCUGCUUCUUCAUCCUGCCAACAGCUCUUGCUUUAUCAUUUGUAUAAUUAUGAUAUCAUAAUUAGUGUUAUUUCUCUCUUUCUAACCUUGCUGAGGUGAUAUUUUCACAAAAUUGCUUUUCCUACUACUUCUUCAAGAUUUCAUCUCAGUAUUCCUGUCAUUGCCAGCAAAGAAGCAAUGCUGGAUUUAACUGUGGUGGUGUGUCUAGUGCAUCCCAGAAUCUUGGUUCCAUAAGCAGAUAGAGGUACUCUGAAUAGUAUAUGAGUAUGCUGAACAAUCAGCCCUCUGACUGUGUGCCAGACUUGUGUUUGGUGGAGAACAGAGUGUUAGAAGAGAAGGGGAAAUCUUUGUUUAUCAAGUAGUGGAUCACAGCAUAAAAGAGCACUGAGAUGCAUUUUGGGCCUGUAAACUCUUGCAUCCCUCAAUUCAUAUUUAAGGAGAAUCAUCAAGGGUCAUUUCCAGACAUCCUUGGAUGUGUUAUUUCAGUUGUUUUGUUGUCAAAUAUUUGGUCUUCACAAAAUGAAAACAUUCUGGAAAUUAUCUGUUUCUUAUCAUGAGUGAAUGGGUCCUCUUAGUCUCACUGGACUGAAUCAAAAGAAGAGUCCUUCCUGUAUGUUUUUUUUUUUUUUUUGUCACUUGGCAAGGGUUUGGAAAAGCUGAUAUGGUUCAGAUAAUAAUGAAAAUCCUGUUUAACAGACUAACCAAAACAUACAAGCUAGCUGAAUUUCUUCCUAGUGUACAUCUACAGGUAUUCUCUAUCAGAAAAUAGCAAUUAUUUAGCGCAUGAUGUACAGUGGCAACAGGGAGAAAAAUGUUCCUGCCCAAUGGAACAUGCUGCAACACCUGUUUCAUAUCAUGAAACCAUUUGCAAUUGCUACCAAAGAAGUGGGAGCUGAAAUGUCAUCAUUAAAUCUACUUCUGCCACUCAUGUCUUUGUUGGAAAAAAGUCUCUGGGGAAGAGAAAUAAAACAUAUUAAAAACACAUUCAUUCAUUUUCCAGUAUUUUCAAUCUUUGAGCCAUAGAAACAAGCAAAUAUUGAUACUGUGCAUAGUCAAAGAGCUGAUAGUUACUUCCAUGACUCUACUCUGACAACUAGUCAUUAAAUAGCCUUCCUUUUAAUCUGGAAGAUUAUAACACAGUGCUAUUUUAAAAGAAAUCUCACAUUGCUCUAUUACCUGUCUUGGGCUCUACUCCUUGUAAAAAAAAAAAAAAAAAAAAAUCAUGUCUUUUAGUUUUUAAUUGUUUCUAUGUCAGUAAGUAGCUUUUGAACCUAUUUUGUGCUUUAGGGUACUUAAAUGGCCCUUACAUGAGCACCUUUGCUGAUAACUAGAUGUAAUUUGUGCCUCAGGCUUUCAUGCUGCAGCCUGGACAAGGGAAACCCUGUACUCAGGAAAUCCAUGUUUUGCUAUUUUGCUUUUCAUCCAAUUUUGGUUUGAGAAAAACUACCACUGGAAACUCAUUAUAGGGAAAAACCCCCAGUAACGUAAGUGGCUCUGAGGCACCUUUAUGUAGCAGUGAAGCAGGGCCAGACUUGCAGACCAGUGGAGCCAUCUGGUACUUUUGUCUGCAUUAAAAGAGUACCCUAUGGUCUGAAAUACUUUAAACUUGAGGUCUGGGACCUGCAGUGAAUCCACAGAAGUUAUUUUUCUUAGGGCACAUCAUCUUAUCCCUAGUUUAGAAAGAAUUAAUUCAACAUUGUCUGUACAAAGUAUUUCUAAGACAUAACUUUUGUUGUCCAAAGCUGUUCAUGGGAGUGAUCUUCUGCACCUUGAGAGGGCAAUUCCUCCAGCCAUGGUCCCUCCAUCCUGCUCUCAAUAUAUUUAAAGUGGGUAGAAGGAUGAUGCUUUUCAGGCCACAUUUUCAUAAGUUGGGCGUAUGGUACCUGUCUCCCAAACAGUAAUAAUACAUCUUACCACUUCUGCUGCUGACCAGCAAACUUAGGCUUUCAAUGGAUUUUGUUCCUGUUAUUUCUAUGAAGAAGGGAAUGUACAGAAUAUGACAUUUCUGUUUCUGUACACUAAAGGAGUGCUGAAGUACUGUAACAUUUAAACCACAUGUUGCACCUUAAUAGGUAUAGUUGGCUAAAUAACAGAUUGGACUAAGGAGGUGAUGCAGAGCUAUAAAAGGGUGAAUUUGAUUGGAAAGGUGAGUUAACAAAAAAUUUACAAGUGGGUGAUGGCUUCACAACUGCAGGCUAAACCCACUGUUCUAGGAAAUGCUAGGAAAGCUUGGUGAGAGACUUGGAAGAGAGCUCCAGACUGGUAUUCAUGGCUGAAUCUUCUGAUCUUAAAUGACAUGGGAAACAGAGGACAAGUGGGUAAAUCUAAGAUUAAGACCUCCCAUGUGGCAGAAAGGCUAGCAAUGAAAUGUACAAAAGAUGAGGUUUGAGAGGAUUUUUGAGUGAUAGUUUUGGAGUUAUUUUGAAGGGGGUUUAUGCAGUAUUUGCUGUUUACACUGUUUGAACAGGACUGUUUGCUGAUAACCCAAAUUUACCCUCUAAAUUCUCUGCUGAAUCCUAAAACUAUUUUUUGUUCUGCUGCUUAAGUGAGAAACAAUUAUUGCUACCAAUAGCAAAGGCCACUUAUGAGAUUGCUAUUUUCUUUCUAGGGUAAGCAGUUACCAAUUUUUCCCUUCAAGCCAGUCCUUCUAUGGUGAAACAGAGGGAUAAUGUGAUGAUUCUUAUGACCACCAUGGAAAACUGAUUAAAAAGUAAAUUUUCUCCUGUCAUCAUCCUUCUGUAGUGUUGUAAAGCUCCACUGUUGCCUUGGCUAUCUUGUGGCAGGUCCCAUUAUUGCCGAGGCAGCACGGGGACAGGUACAGAGAACCACAUGCCAGGUCAUGAGUCAGUUUCUGGUGCAAAGGAGCACGUGUUUGAGACCAUCAGCCUUUUGAUUCCAUGUAAUGCACUGUGGUUCCCAUUGCAGAGCAGCCUCCUGGAAUGUGGAUUAUUUUUGGAUUAAACUAGAAGGUGCAUUCUGGGAAUCACCUAAUGCACUCCAACCGCUAACAGGCAUGUUGUGUCUGGGAACAGAAUAGGCCCAGUCAGAAAUAAAACCACCUGAAAAAUGCAGACUUCAGGUUCCCAGCACCAGCUGCUUCCCCUAAGAAAUCUUCACCCUGCUUGCUCAAUAAUCACAGUUUAUGUGAGCAGCAGGGGAAGGAGCAACACAUGGAUUUUUUCUGUAAAGGUGUCACACUAUAUUUAGCAAAGUGCUAUCUUGGCUGCACCAACACAUUACAGUUCAGCUGCCUAUUGUGUUUUCUGUAGCUGUGCUUGGUGCACAAUGGAUGAGCAUUUUAUGGUUAUAUGCAUAUGUGUGUAAGUCUGUAUGUAUAUAUAAACAUACACAAACCUACUGUUUGGAUGUUUUAGAACAUAAGGUAGCAAAUUUUUAAUCACAACAUCCCUUUGUCAUAAUGCAAAACAAAUUGGAGGUCAAAGUUAUAAUAAUAAAACAUCCAUCCUGGAGCUUUUUAGAGGAACCUGUUUAAAAAGGUUAAAGUAAGCAAUUAUCACAACCCUAAUUUACAACUACUUGGCAAUAAGAGUUGCUUUUCAAUGAACCAUUUAUUCAUGAUCUGCUGCUUCACACUGCAGGAUUCUUCUUGACUAGGUUAGAAAAUGUAAUUAAUAAAUGAUAGGAUUAUUUAUGGUUCACAGUGCCAGAUUGGAAAAUACAAUGAUAUACAGAAUGAGCUAAAAACUAUUCUUACAGGCAGCAUCUUGGUUUUUAAUCCAUGGAUUGGAUUGUCACAUUACUUGAUAUGCUGUGGUGAACUCCUGAUGGUAUUCAUGGGACAUUAUUUUGUCAUCCUAGCUGCUCUGUGUGACAAUAAAAAUGGACAUGCUCCUUUGAGAACAGACUUAAUGAACACUGACAUGCUAAUCUUUUUCUAGUUGAGGUAGGGUGGCAUUUGUGGUUUUGCUUAGUUUGACUGUGUUAGUGAUUAUCUCAAAGCCCCAGUAGAACCUGGAAAAUGUUUAUAUUUCAUAAACAUAAAAUGAUCCUCUUUGAGAUUUUAUUCUAGUAAUGCUAGUUAAGGAAACACACCUGAUAAAUACAGACAGACUUUCUCGAUUUCAAGUAGCAAAAUUAUGCUAAAAUAGAAUGAUGUCAGCUCUAAUAUCUUUAUUCAUGGGCAAGGUGCCUGGCUGUGUGUGACUGAAGCUGAAAUUUUGCUAUGACCUUCAAAACCUCUAAGUUUCCUCUUACAUCCAGGCCUAAGAGGAAAAGUAUCCCAACUGAUAUUUAAUUUAAUUAUUGUUAUUAAGUAUUAAGUUUCACAAGGAGAAAAAUAUUUUUUUGCACUGAUUUAUACACAGUCCAAUAAAAAAACAGCAAAAAAUCUGAAUGUGAGGUGCAGUGGCUCUCGGCCAUAAUUCCCACUGGUAAUAUACUGGAGCUAAUCAGUGAAAUUCUAGAGUUUAGGUAUAGGUUGAAACAUACUGAGGAUUGGUUCAAAUUCCAUUUUUUAUCAGCUCAGAUUCCUUUUAAAAUGCUUUCCUAUAGUAAUUAGGAUUGCCAACAGUGAUUCUAGAAUAUAUGUGCAUGUAGUUGAUACUUCCAUGAGUGUCCUACUAAGAUAAUUUAAAAAUGCCUUUAGGAUUUAAUGAUGAUUUGAAUCCUGUGGCUUUAGAAUUUCAAAUGUCAAUACAGGAUAUGUGAAUAAUGGAUGAAACCCAGGAGAUUUACAGAAUCACAGAAGAGUUGAGGUUGGAGUUCGUCUCUGGAGGUCAUUAAGUGCAAGCCCCCUGCUCAAGCAGGGUCAGCUACAGCAGGUUGCCCAGGACCACUUCCAGAUAGAUUUUGUAUAUUUUCAAGAUUGAUAUUCCUCAGCUUCUCUGGACAACCUCUUCCAGGACAAAUUAAUACAGGUUUAAUCAUCAUAACAACAUUUCAUUUUAAAUAUAGGUAAAUUUAUGCUUUCCUAUGUGUACAUUUGCACACAGAUGCAUAUGAUAAAAUACUGGAAUUUUAUUUUUGUUCUUGCACUGAGAUCAAUUUAUUACAGCAUUGCUGGGUUAUAGUUCUAAACAUGAAUUUGAGGUCAGGGGCUGCUUCUUCUAUUGGAAGCAAUGUUGCCUCCAUUUACUCCUAAGCGUCCUGCGAUUUUGUUUUAGGUUAAAAGCAAAAUUUGAAACGCCAAAUGGGUGCUUGAAUUUAUGCACAAAUGUACAAUAGAAAAUGUCAAAAAAAAAAAAAAGGUUAAAAAUGAAGGUGAAAUAACAAAUUUUGAUUAAAUGGGGAAAAUGUAUUGUGUUUUUUCUUUAAGCUUCAAAAAAAUUAAAAAAUUGAAACACAGGUUACUUUGUCCAGUUUCGUCAAGAGGUUAUUUCUCUUUUUCUGCUAUCUAUUCUGUAUACCAAACAUAGAGAUAAGUAGGUAAAAAUGCUCUACCUUUUGCAAAUAUUGUCUGCAGGUAAUUUGGACUUUGUAAUGCCAUGCUUGCCUUUAUCCCAACGUUUUUGCAUUUUUUGGUUUUGCAUAUCUAGAAGGAUAUAUACUUCUGCUUCUGUGAUAUGGGGUGUUCCAUGGAGAAUCAGCUAUUUUUCAGCCUUCUCCAAUGUCUGCAAGGAGUUUCUUUCCUUGCUAAAUUGUAUUCUUUUCAGCAUUCAUCAAAAAUUUCUCAUGUACUGCUAUUUGAGCUUCUUUGCUGUUUUUGUAAUGCUUCAAGCAUUCAUAGUUUAGGCAAAAACUUACAUUGUCUUUCUUGUUUGUACCUGGUUUUUUUCAGUCCUUCUUUUGAAUUGACCCAGUUUAUGAGAAACAGAGAAUUAAUCCAAAAGCCUUUGAAUUAGCUCUUCUGGAUACAUAGGAGUAUGUGGCGCCUCAUCUGCAGAGGACUCUGUCUCUAGAGAUGCUCUGUACACCCUGUUGCUGUUCAUAUGCACAGUCCCUGUCUGGCAGCAGCCUGCCUCUCUUAGCCCCAUGGCACAGGAGGUAAGGGGACUUCGCUUCACAACCUGUGUGACUGACAGAGGAGCAGCAGAAUGAAUUGGCUGUGCUCCUGUGAGCAAUCUGACCAUCCCAAAUAGACUUGCACUACCAUGACAUCAUAUAUUGUCUCUGCCUCUUCAUCUCCUUCUCACUUAAUCAUCCGUGGAAUGAGGACACACAAUAGUGUGUUUGUGUAUCCUUUGGGAUCAGCAGCCAAGUCACCUGUGAAUUAUACAGGUCAACAGAAAUGGAGGUUAAGAUUUGGUCUACAUGCAUUCUUCUCGUGUCACCAGAGAUUACAGACAAAACAAACAGGGAUACACCAUUGACAUUUAGUAAAUGUUAUUAGAAAUGCUUUAUUGUAGGGAGAAUGAGGAGGGAUUAUAUCUAUGAAUGCAAAGCUUUUUUACUCUGAUCCUGAGUCAUCAGAGAGGCCGUUUUAAUUGACAUAAAACAACUUGUCUCAGUAUAAACACACCACAGGAUAAAACUGUCAAGUCGUGGUGCUUUGCAAGCAUAGGAAAUGUUUGGUAUCAAUAAAAAAAAGAGAAUUGCUCCUUAAAAAUACUCCUAAAACUUUUGAGUGGACUUCCAGAGUGUGCAAACAUGGACAAUGAUUUUUUUUUUUUUUUCUGGUUUUCCCUGAAAUUCAACCCUGGCCUGUCAAUUUCCAUUGCAUUUUCUUCUAUUCUUCUGAGUAGAUUCUUAUUUUGCAACCUGUGUUACCCAGUUUCAGGAUUCCUGCCUUUAGAACUCUAUUUACAACUGCAGUAUGUCUGUGCAUCCAUUUCCCAUCAGUCCUUUCCUUAGCUGCUGCCUGUGGUAUACUUUUUGGAUUAUUUUCCUUUUUCUCUAGGAGAGUCUUUCACUUGAUGGUUAAGUUUUCUGCAAGGUAUCAUCAUGGGUCAAAACUGAAGAAACACAUGAUUAUAGCUUAGCUCAAUGUUUUCUGAUUUUGUUCAGCAUAUAAAAUAAAGCAAAAAAGGGUAAUUCUGGGAAGAAAAGAAAUUAGAAGCAUUAAUAUGUCAAAAUGACCCAAGGGCUUAUGGGCUUGGAAACAUUUUUUGCCUAACUGCAACAUUUAGGCUACUAAAUGAGAUUACUCCUCCCUAUAAACACUGUCAUUUAAAGUGCUUAUAGAUGAAUGAGAAUUAGACUCAAGUAAGAAGAACCAAAGAUAUUUUGAAGUAAAGAAGGCAUCCUAUCUGUAACUGCAACCUGCUGAGACAGAUAAUUAGACUGUAUACUGGCAAGAUAUAAAGAAGCUUUGAAAAAAGUGGUGCUGAGCAUACAGGCAAUGAAGGCAGAGAAAAAAAAUGAAUGUGAUCAUCCAACACAACCACUAAGGGCUAGAGAAAAGUCAGAAUGAAAAAUUACUAUUGGGUAUUUGAAACUGGGGAGGGGAACACUUGCUGUUAACAAAUACAGAAAAAUAUCAA